rnacentral:rRNA from 1 species
UCCGGUUGAUCCUGCCAGAGGCCGCUGCUAUCCGGCUGGGACUAAGCCAUGCUAGUCUAGGGGCUUGUACCCCUUCGGGGGUGCAAGCACCGGCGGACGGCUCAGUAACACGUGGACAACCUGCCCUCGGGUGGGGGAUAACCCCGGGAAACUGGGGCUAAUCCCCCAUAGGUGAUGGGUGCUGGAAUGCCCCAUCUCCGAAAGCGCUCAGCGCCCGAGGAUGGGUCUGCGGCGGAUUAGGUAGUUGGUGGGGUAACGGCCCACCAAGCCUAAGAUCCGUACGGGCUGUGGGAGCAGGAGCCCGGAGAUGGACCCUGAGACAAGGGUCCAGGCCCUACGGGGCGCAGCAGGCGCGAAACCUCCGCAAUGCGGGAAACCGCGACGGGGUUAGCCGGAGUGCCCGUGCAUUGCACGGGCUGUCGGGGUGCCUAAACAGCACCCCAUAGCAAGGGCCGGGCAAGGCCGGUGGCAGCCGCCGCGGUAAGACCGGCGGCCCGAGUGGCGGCCACUCUUAUUGGGCCUAAAGCGUCCGUAGCCGGCCCAGUAAGUCCCCCGGGAAAUCUGGUCGCUUAACGAUCAGACUUCCGGGGGAUACUGCUGGGCUAGGGACCGGGAGAGGCCGAGGGUAUUCCCGGGGUAGGGGUGAAAUCCUGUAAUCCCGGGAGGACCACCUGUGGCGAAGGCGCUCGGCUGG